GGGGGUGUCCCGGUCUCGACAGGAUAUUUUCACCCAUAGUUGCAGUGGUUUGGUAGACCUUAAUACUUCUAGGUUUGAUAAAAUGCAAACGAAAACAAAAAUGAAUUUGAAAUGCCAGCAUUUAUGAUCAAUAAUGCAUCAGCUGGAGUUGCUUUAGCAGCUUAAUAAGUUUUUAUACUUAUAGCAUUCAACGUUAGUAAAUGUGUUUAUGCUUCAUUUAAUGACGUAUUACCUAGCAUAAUAGAUUAACUAAUUGUGAGAGAGUUAAUCGAAAAUAACUUCACAAAAUCUAUAAAUUAUUUUUGUUAGUUUUAUUUUUUAUGGAUAAUUAAAAACUAUCUAAACUGUAGACGCUAUGGGUUGGAGUAUUUUGGACGCGGGUUCGAUUCCCGCCAUCUCCACCA
rnacentral:tmRNA from 1 species